rnacentral:rRNA from 1 species
GAUGAACGCUAGCGGCAGGCCUAACACAUGCAAGUCGAACGGUAACAUUGGUUGCUUGCAACCAGAUGACGAGUGGCGCACGGGUGCGUAACGCGUAUAGAACCUACCCCGUACAGGGGGAUAGCCCAUGGAAACGUGGAUUAAUACCCCGUAGUGAUAAGAUACGGCAUCGUAUUUAUUAAAGUCUUUAGGCGGUACGGGAUGGCUAUGCGUCUUAUUAGUUAGUAGGUGAGGUAACGGCUCACCUAGGC